GACGAACGCUGGCGGCGUGCCUAAUACAUGCAAGUAGAACGCUGAAGGAGGAGCUUGCUUCUCUGGAUGAGUUGCGAACGGGUGAGUAACGCGUAGGUAACCUGCCUGGUAGCGGGGGAUAACUAUUGGAAACGAUAGCUAAUACCGCAUAAUAGUAGAUGUUGCAUGACAUUUGCUUAAAAGGUGCAAUUGCAUCACUACCAGAUGGACCUGCGUUGUAUUAGCUAGUUGGUGAGGUAACGGCUCACCAAGGCGACGAUACAUAGCCGACCUGAGAGGGUGAUCGGCCACACUGAGACUGAGACACGGCCCAGACUCCUACGGGAGGCAGCAGUAGGGAAUCUUCGGCAAUGGACGGAAGUCUGACCGAGCAACGCCGCGUGAGUGAAGAAGGUUUUCGGAUCGUAAAGCUCUGUUGUAAGAGAAGAACGAGUGUGAGAGUGGAAAGUUCACACUGUGACGGUAUCUUACCAGAAAGGGACGGCUAACUACGUG
rnacentral:rRNA from 1 species